rnacentral:rRNA from 1 species
UACGUAGGGGUGCAAGCGUUUGUCCGGAAUUAUUGGGCGUAAAGAGCUCGUAGGCGGUCUGUCGCGUCGAAUGUGAAAAACCCGGGGCUCAACCCCCGGGCCUGCAUUCGAUACGGGCAGACUAGAGUUCGGUAGGGGAGUCUGGAAUUCCUGGUGUAGCGGUGAAAUGCGCAGAUAUCAGGAGGAACACCGGUGGCGAAGGCGGGACUCUGGGCCGAUACUGACGCUGAGGAGCGAAAGCGUGGGGAGCAAACAGG